rnacentral:rRNA from 1 species
AGUGAACGCUGGCGGUAGGCCUAACACAUGCAAGUCGAACGGCAGCACAGUAAGAGCUUGCUCUUACGGGUGGCGAGUGGCGGACGGGUGAGGAAUACAUCGGAAUCUACUUUUUCGUGGGGGUUAACGUAGGGAAACUUACGCUAAUACCGCAUACGACCUACGGGUGAAAGCAUGGGAUCUUCGGACCUUGCGCGAUUGAAUGAGCCGAUGUCGGAUUAGCUAGUUGGCGGGGUAAAUGCCCACCAAGGCGACGAUCCGUAGCUGGUCUGAGAGGAUGAUCAGCGACACUGGAACUGAGACACGGUCCAGACUCCUACGGGAGGCAGCAGUGGGGAAUAUUGGACAAUGGGCGCAAGCCUGAUCCAGCCAGACCGCGUGGGUGAAGAAGGCCUUCGGGGUGUAAAGCCCUUUUGUUGGGAAAGAAAAGCAGCAGGUUAAGACCCCGCUGUUCUGACGGUACCCAAAGAAUAAGCACCGGCUAACUUCGUG